rnacentral:rRNA from 1 species
AAUGAUACCCCGGUAGUCCACCCCGUAAACGUUGGGAACUAGUUGUGGGGUCCUUUCCACGGAUUCCGUGACGCAGCUAACGCAUUAAGUUCCCCGCCUGGGGAGUACGGCCGCAAGGCUAAAACUCAAAGGAAUUGACGGGGACCCGCACAAGCGGCGGAGCAUGCGGAUUAAUUCGAUGCAACGCGAAGAACCUUACCAAGGCUUGACAUACACCGGAAACGGCCAGAGAUGGUCGCCCCGCAAGGUCGGUGUACAGGUGGUGCAUGGUUGUCGUCAGCUCGUGUCGUGAGAUGUUGGGUUAAGUCCCGCAACGAGCGCAACCCUCGUUCUAUGUUGCCAGCACGUAAUGGUGGGAACUCAUGGGAUACUGCCGGGGUCAACUCGGAGGAAGGUGGGGAUGACGUCAAAUCAUCAUGCCCCUUAUGUCUUGGGCUUCACGCAUGCUACAAUGGCCGGUACAAAGGGCUGCAAUACCGUGAGGUGGAGCGAAUCCCAAAAAGCCGGUCCCAGUUCGGAUUGAGGUCUGCAACUCGACCUCAUG